AUUGAACGCUGGCGGCAGGCCUAACACAUGCAAGUCGAGCGAGCAGCGGACGGGUGAGUACUGUCUGGGAAACUGCCUGAAAGAGGGGGAUAACUGCUGGAAACGGUAGCUAAAACCGCACACCAUCAGAUUUGCCCAGAGGGGAUUAGCUAGUCGGUGGGGUAACGGCUCACCUAGGCGACGAUCCCUAGCUGGUCUGAGAGGAUGACCAGCCACACUGGAACUGAGACACGGUCCAGACUCCUACGGGAGGCAGCAGUGGGGAAUAUUGCACAAUGGGCGAAAGUCUGAUGCAGCCAUGCCGCGUGUGUGAAGAAGGCCUUCGGGUUGUAAAGCACUGUCAUCGGGGAGGCGUUACCCGCAGAGGAAGCACCGGCUAACUCCGUGCCAGCAGCCGCGGUAAUUC
rnacentral:rRNA from 1 species